UAAAUCAGUUAUCGUUUAUUUGAUAGUACCUUACUACUUGGAUAACCGUGGUAAUUCUAGAGCUAAUACAUGCUAAAAACCCCGACUUCGGGAGGGGUGUAUUUAUUAGAUAAAAAACCAAUGCCCUUCGGGGCUCUUUGGUGAUUCAUAAUAACUUAACGGAUCGCAUGGCCUUGCGCCGGCGACGGUUCAUUCAAAUUUCUGCCCUAUCAACUUUCGAUGGUAAGGUAUUGGCUUACCAUGGUUUCAACGGGUAACGGGGAAUUAGGGUUCGAUUCCGGAGAGGGAGCCUGAGAAACGGCUACCACAUCCAAGGAAGGCAGCAGGCGCGCAAAUUACCCAAUCCCGACACGGGGAGGUAGUGACAAUAAAUACUGAUACAGGGCUCUUUUGGGUCUUGUAAUUGGAAUGAGUACAAUUUAAACCCCUUAACGAGGAACAAUUGGAGGGCAAGUCUGGUGCCAGCAGCCGCGGUAAUUCCAGCUCCAAUAGCGUAUAUUAAAGUUGUUGCAGUUAAAAAGCUCGUAGUUGAAACUUGGGCCUGGCUGGCCGGUCCGCCUCACCGCGUGUACUGGUCCGGCCGGGCCUUUCCUUCUGGAGAGCCUCAUGCCCUUCACUGGGUGUGUUGGGGAACCAGGACUUUUACUUUGAAAAAAUUAGAGUGUUCAAAGCAGGCCUUUGCUCGAAUACGUUAGCAUGGAAUAAUAGAAUAGGACGUGCGAUCCUAUUUUGUUGGUUUCUAGGACCGCCGUAAUGAUUAAUAGGGAUAGUCGGGGGCAUCAGUAUUCAAUUGUCAGAGGUGAAAUUCUUGGAUUUAUUGAAGACUAACUACUGCGAAAGCAUUUGCCAAGGAUGUUUUCAUUAAUCAGUGAACGAAAGUUAGGGGAUCGAAGACGAUCAGAUACCGUCGUAGUCUUAACCGUAAACUAUGCCGACUAGGGAUCGGGCGAUGUUAUUAUUUUGACUCG
rnacentral:rRNA from 1 species